rnacentral:lncRNA from 1 species
AGUAACACUUAUUUCCAGUGUUGACCUGACUGCAAAAUAUAGGACUUCAUGAAACUGUGAGAAGAGCAGCCUUCUAAGAUAUUGAAAGAUGGGACUCUUUAUAUGACAUCUCUGAAAUACCUCAAGUACCACUCCAGUUCUCUUCGCCGAGCAGAUCAAAGAGGACUUGAGCCAAGACCCACUGAAAGCAGUGGAAUAUAUCAGGAGAGCUGCCGGAAGGGACUCUGUCGUGUAUGCCUCGGGACCUGUCCAGCCUGGCAUCUUAGCUCAGACCGUUGGCAGAGGUGGGUUUGAACCAAGACAUCUGACCUCGUGCUGGAGCUCCYGUAGCUCAGGCACGUAUUCCCUUCYGCUGACUCCGCAGUUGCGGUCGUGUCCUCCAGGACAGCCAUGGAACAGGCAUGGGCAGUAGUUUCUUAGACUGUUGCACCAAAUCGCUAGAGCUCAUCUUCCGGUUUAUUAAAUAUUAAUUAGAUACACACA